GGCCAGACUCCUACGGGAGGCAGCAGUGGGGAAUAUUGCACAAUGGGGGGAACCCUGAUGCAGCGACGCCGCGUGGGUGAAGGAGCACCUCGGUGCGUAAAGCCCUAUCGGCAGGGAAGAAAAGCGAACAGGUUCGCCUGGACGGUACCUGACUAAGAAGCCCCGGCUAACUACGUGCCCGCAGCCGCGGUAAUACGUAGGGGGCAAGCGUUAUCCGGAUUUACUGGGUGUAAAGGGAGCGCAGACGGCAGUGCAAGUCUGGAGUGAAAGCCCGGGGCCCAACCCCGGAACUGCUCUGGAAACUGUGCGGCUAGAGUACUGGAGGGGCAGGCGGAAUUCCUAGUGUAGCGGUGAAAUGCGUAGAUAUUAGGAGGAACACCAGUGGCGAAGGCGGCCUGCUGGACAGUAACUGACGUUGAGGCUCGAAAGCGUGGGGAGCAAACAGGAUUAGAUACCCGAGUA
rnacentral:rRNA from 1 species